rnacentral:rRNA from 1 species
CCUACGGGUGGCAGCAGUGGGGGAUAUUGCACAAUGGGGGCAACCCUGAUGCAGCAACGCCGCGUGGAUGAUGAAGCUCCUCGGCGCGUAAAGCUCUUUCCUCAGGGAAGAAAAUGACGGUACUUGCUGAGGAAGCACCGGCUACCUACGUGCCAGCAGCAGCGGUAGUACGUAGGGGGCAAGCGUCAUCAGGCGUGACUGGGGGUAAAGGGGGCGUAGUCGGUGUUUCGAGCCAGGAGUGAAACCCCGGCGCCCAACCCCGGAGCGACUCGUGGAACUGCGGGGCGUGAGUGCAGGAGGGGCAGGCGGAAUUCCUGGUGUAGCGGUGGAAUGCGUAGAUAUUAGGAGGAACACCGGUGGCGAAGGCGGCUUGCUGGACUGCAACUGACGUUGAGGCCCGAAAGCGUGGGGAGCAAACAGGAUUAGAUACCCGAGUAGUC